UGCCGAAGAUUGGCCCUCGGUACAUACCGUACGUCACACCACGUCAAUUCCAUAAUGCUUUGAAACUGUGUAGCAAACAACCGCAGCCAGCUUUCAGGUUGGUAAAAGUCCGUCUCUUGUCCUUCAUUUUGAAUGUACUAGGUAUCUGAAUAUUUAUUGGUUUUGAGCAUUUCCAUUUGGAUCGACUGCUGAUUUCUCUGCACCUGUUAACAUGGUCAACGUACACAAAGGUGUUCUUGUAGAAUGUGAUCCUGCCAUGAAACAGUUCCUCCUCUACUUGGAUGAAAAAAUGGCCCUGGGAAAGAAAUUCAUCCUCAAGGACCUUGACGACACACACCUCUUCAUCCUGGCAGAGGUGGUACAGACCCUCCAGGAGAGAGUUGGCGAGUUAAUGGACCAGAACUCAUUCACCGUCACGCAGAAAUAAUAUUCAACUGUUCCAAAGAAGUCUUGCUUCUUGGACUCAGGGCAGUUUGAGAGUUUCUUUAGAUGAACACGGUUUGCAUUGUUUUGACAAUGUAAAUCACCAGAAACAUGGAUCUAACUUGCAGCCAAACAACGUUGCAGCAUAAAAAGACCGAGAAGAAAUGUCGGAAACGUUUGCAAAUGUUAAACAUGCAAAUGAGACAUCCGAACUGAGUUCUCUGUGGGAGAAUAGAAUGUGUUUGUACGGUCUGGCGAAAAACUAGGCCACACAACAACUUAAGAGCUUUGGUAGCCUCUAGUGUAGAAUGGAGCUGACUGCAUGAUUCAACCCUAUACUGAAUAUUUGAGCCAGAACGGACUCGUAUCUCGUAAAACACAAUGCAUUCCUUCGCUGAUUUUUUUCAGCAAAUUGUCAACCUUCAGAUUAUUUCAAACAUGUUUCAUUAGCAAAAUAAAGUGAACCGUCUGAUUCUUC